rnacentral:rRNA from 1 species
UACGGAGGGGGCUAGCGUUGUUCGGAAUUACUGGGCGUAAAGCGCACGUAGGCGGCUUUGUAAGUUAGAGGUGAAAGCCCAGGGCUUAACCCUGGAAUUGCCUUUAAGACUGCAUCGCUAGAAUUGUGGAGAGGUAAGUGGAAUUCCGAGUGUAGAGGUGAAAUUCGUAGAUAUUCGGAAGAACACCCGUGGCGAAGGCGACUUACUGGACACAUAUUGACGCUGAGGUGCGAAAGCGUGGGGAGCAAACAGG